AGUGAACGCUGGCGGUAGGCCUAACACAUGCAAGUCGAACGGCAGCACAGUAAGAGCUUGCUCUUACGGGUGGCGAGUGGCGGACGGGUGAGGAAUACAUCGGAAUCUACUUUUUCGUGGGGGAUAACGUAGGGAAACUUACGCUAAUACCGCAUACGACCUACGGGUGAAAGCAGGGGAUCUUCGGACCUUGCGCGAUUGAAUGAGCCGAUGUCGGAUUAGCUAGUUGGCGGGGUAAAGGCCCACCAAGGCGACGAUCCGUAGCUGGUCUGAGAGGAUGAUCAGCCACACUGGAACUGAGACACGGUCCAGACUCCUACGGGAGGCAGCAGUGGGGAAUAGUGGACAAUGGGCGCAAGCCUGAUCCAGCCAUACCGCGUGGGUGAAGAAGGCCUUCGGGUUGUAAAGCCCUUUUGUUGGGAAAGAAACGCAGCAGCUUAAUACCCAGCUGUUCUGACGGUACCCAAAGAAUAAGCACCGGCUAACUUCGUG
rnacentral:rRNA from 1 species